CGAGUUACCGCUCCUUAUAACCCUUUGUGAACAUACCCCAAACGUUGCCUCGGCGGGCAGCCGGAGCCCAGCUCCGGCGCCCGGAGCCGCCGCCGUCUCGGUGCGCCCCACCCGCCGGAGGACCACUAAACUCUAUUUAAACGACGUCUCUUCUGAGUGGCACAAGCAAAUAAUCA
rnacentral:misc_RNA from 1 species